UUGACAGAGGAGUUUGGUCCCUUUUUCUCCCCUUUCAGCUCUUCUGUCACGUGAGGACACAGCAUGUUCCCCUCUAUAGAAUGCAGAAGUAAGACACCAUCUUGGAAGCAGAGAGCAGCUCUCACCAGACAACCAAACCUUCUAGCAUCUUGAUCUUCAACUUCCCAGCCUCCAGAACUUGUUCCUCCCAUUCAGAAGAAGGAACAACAAGGCACCAUCUUGAAAGUAGAGAGACCGGAACCUCACCAGCCAGCAUCUUGACCUUGGACUACCCAGCCUUCAGAAUUAUAAGUAAUAAAGUUCUAUUGUUUAUAAAUUA